UACGGGGGGGCAAGCGUUGUUCGGAAUUACUGGGCGUAAAGGGCUCGUAGGCGGCCAACUAAGUCGGAUGUGAAAUCCCCAGGCUUAACCUGGGAACUGCAUCCGAUACUGGAUGGCUUGAAUCCGGGAGAGGGAUGCAGAAUUCCAGGUGUAGCGGUGAAAUGCGUAGAUAUCUGGAGGAAUACCGGUGGCGAAGGCGGCAUCCUGGACCGGCAUUGACGCUGAUGAGCGAAAGCUAGGGGAGCAACGGG
rnacentral:rRNA from 1 species